GUUAUUUUUUAGGAGUAAAUCCUACACUGAUAAACAGAGGUAAAUGUUACAGUGAUGAACACAAGUAUAUUAAAACAUGGCAAACAGUUAGCAUUAGAUCACAAAAGAAAAAUACUGUGUAACUGAUUUUUCACAAGUGUUUGUAACUAGUGACUCAAUUUCAAUGUUAAAGAAGUGAGAAGUCUUCAAAGCACACACUGAAGUUAAAAAUAGUUGUUUUUCCCUGCCGCACUUAGUCCAUUUUUAAAUAAAUUAAAUGACUGUAAAAUUCAACAGAAGCAGAGAUAAGGGCAACACUCUGGAUUACAGUGUCUUGAAAUAGGAAGAGAUAGCUACUGAUUCAGAGGACAAGUUUUGUUUGUGUGUUGAAACUUCACUAACAUCAUUAAUGCAAAAUCCUCCAAUCUAUUGAGAGUGUAAUUUGUGACAAUUCUCAGAUAGUUCAUUCUCGUUUCUCUUGCUGUAUGCUAACAGAUUUGGACCAUUCCCUCCAUUAACAGCUGACUCGAAUUGAUGUCAUGAUGCUCUUUCACACCCAGUAAUGCAACACGAGGUGAUUCGACACUGACACAGAACUUCAAGACGCCAUCAAUGACUAGCUGCAGUCUCAGAUGGCAGAAACUGAUGAGUCUACAAACUGAUGAGAGGACCUUGCGAAUGUCCAGUGAUAUGCUGCUGCCUGGAAAAAAAGGGGUGGAUAGACAGAAAAUUGGAAGAAACAUCUGAAUCAAUGCUGGCACCAAUAAAAUCAUCAAGUUUCCAUGAUCUGAAUCAACAAGUU